rnacentral:rRNA from 1 species
GGAUUAGAUACCCUGGUAGUCCACGCCGUAAACGCUGUCUACUAGCUGUAUGCGGAUUCAUUUCUGUGUGUAGCGAAGCUAACGCGCUAAGUAGACCGCCUGGGGAGUACGGCCGCAAGGUUAAAACUCAAAUGAAUUGACGGGGGCCCGCACAAGCGGUGGAGCAUGUGGUUUAAUUCGAUGCAACGCGAAGAACCUUACCUACACUUGACAUGCUGAGAAGUUAGCAGAGAUGCUUUCGUGCCUUCGGGAACUCAGACACAGGUGCUGCAUGGCUGUCGUCAGCUCGUGCCG